AAAGGAAACUGGAACGGGGUCAAUGGACGAUUAAUAAGACCUGUAGCCUAGGCUGAUGACUUUUAUUACGCUUUGGAGGAAUGCCUGCCUAAGAUCGGCUCAAAUGGUCAAGCCUACUUCAUAAUUUGUGGCAGUAGUGGCCAACUUCACGUGGCCCCCAA
rnacentral:snRNA from 14 species